rnacentral:rRNA from 1 species
CCUACGGGUGGCAGCAGUGGGGGAUAUUGCACAAUGGGGGGAACCCUGAUGCAGCGACGCCGCGUGGGUGAAGAAGCGCCUCGGCGCGUAAAGCCCUGUCAGCAGGGAAGAAAAUGACGGUACCUGAAGCAGAAGCCCCGGCUAACUACGUGCCAGCAGCCGUGGUUAUACGUAGGGGGCAAGCGUUAUCCGGAUUUACUGGGUGUAAAGGGGGCGCAGACGGCGAUGCAAGCCAGGAGUGAAAGCCCGGGGCCCAACCCCGGGACUGCUCUUGAAACUACGUGGCUGGGGUGCAGGAGGGGCAGGCGGAAUGCCUGGUGUAGCGGUGAAAUGCGUAGAUAUCAGGAGGAACACCGGUGGCGAAGGCGGCCUGCUGGACUGCAACUGACGUUGAGGCCCGAAAGUGUGGGGAGCAAACAGGAUUAGAUACCCCGGUAGUC